UACGAAGGGGGCUAGCGUUGCUCGGAAUUACUGGGCGUAAAGGGCGCGUAGGCGGAUAUCUAAGUUGGGGGUGAAAGCCCGGAGCUCAACUCCGGAACUGCCUUUAAAACUGCAUCGCUUGAAUCCAGGAGAGGUGAGUGGAAUUCCGAGUGUAGAGGUGAAAUUCGUAGAUAUUCGGAAGAACACCAGUGGCGAAGGCGGCUCACUGGACUGGUAUCGACGCUGAGGUGCGAAAGCGUGGGGAGCAAACAGG
rnacentral:rRNA from 1 species